UACGAAGGGUGCAAGCGUUACUCGGAAUUACUGGGCGUAACGCGUGCGUAGGCGGUGAGUUAAGUCUGAUGUGAAAUCCCCGGGCUCAACCUGGGAAUGGCAUUGGAUACUGGCUCGCUAGAGUGCGGUAGAGGGUGGUGGAAUUCCCGGUGUAGCAGUGAAAUGCGUAGAUAUGUGGAGGAAUACCGAUUGCGAAGGCAGCCCCCUGGGCUAAGAUUGACGCUCAUGCACGAAAGCGUGGGGAGCAAACAGG
rnacentral:rRNA from 1 species